rnacentral:lncRNA from 1 species
CGAUAUGGCGUUGACGCGAAAGGAGGCGGAACUAAUGUGCCCCAACAUUCUAGUCGGACCCUUUAGACUCAAACCUUUAGAGUGUUACACCGCCUAAAGCUUUCUGGCUGACACAUGGCCAAUUACCUGACUAGAGGAAGAAGCAAGAACCACGAAGAAUUAAAGACAGGUGCUGGUCCUGCCAGGAUGUGGAUGUGUCUGGAAGAGUUGGAUGAAAAGCAAAAGGACCCUCAGUGAUAUUUAAUACUUCUGCAACAUCACUGAGCUCAGGACAUGAACACCGUCCUCCUGGGUGAAAGUCGACCUCCACCCCUUAUGGAGUUUCUCGCUCAUUAUGCUACAUCACCUGACUUCCACCUUUGCUCCUGUGAUUAUUACAACGGUUGCUAGAGGUCGGUGUCAUCUGCUUGUAUUUCUUCUUUCAGUGAUUAACUGUUUGAAUAGAUGAUAAAUCCUAUUAGUCUGUGUUGCAGGUCCCUUCUGAUCUACAUCUCUGAGGCUGAUAACCACUGAUAACGGCCAUUUAAUCGGCUGAUAACAUUUGAACCGGGUGCAAAAAGUUAGCAUCCUCAGCAGCUGAUUGAUGAAGUACAACACAUGGAAAUAAAGAAACACCAUUGUUCUUGUAUUGCAGAGUCGAGAUAUCUAGUAUUCCUUAACCUGAUGCACCAGAUGUUUUGGAAAAGGGCAGGUGACUUGACGGGUGAUUGGAUGAACCAUCUGUAAAUCAAACUCUUACUGAAACCAGUCAGGAGAAGAGCGGAAACAUCAAGAAAAACCUUUCAGAGCCGUUCCUUGCUCUUCUUUGAAUAAAAGACAUACUCUCCAGUACUGAUGCUAUUGCAGAAACGAACGAAAUCAAUCAGUCACCUCUCCGUGUCGUCUCACACACCUUAACCAUGCCCUUAAGGAUGCUCAAACGCAUUACUUGAAGCCGCACAAGAUGGAUUUUCGUGUGAUCUCAUGAUCCCGCAAUUUUCUUGGGAUCUUAUGAUGUUUCGAGAGUGCAGUGCAAGGUAAAACAUUCUUAGUGUUCCCUUUGUGUAUUGAAGGGUGGUGGGUGGGCUGCAGCACGUCAGACUUUCAUAUGGGAGAUUAGAUUUGUGACUUGCUAUCACAGACUUGCAACAGACAUGUUGGAAAAUGUAUUUGCUUUCUUGUCGAGGGUAAAAUGAGAAAAAUCAGUACCACUCUAAUAUUUGUAUGGCAAAUAUGAAGUUAACGCCAAUAGGCUGGCUAACUUAGCUUAGCACAGAGACUGGGGACAGGGGGAAACAUUUAGCCUGGCUCUGUCCAAAGGCAAUAACAUCGACCUACCAGCCUCUCUAAAGCACACUAAUGUUUAUACAAAGUGUAAAAAAUGACUAGUUGAUUGAACCAAGGUAUUAUUCUAUUCUAUUAAUAAUAAACAAGCUCUCACAUUUAAAAAUCCACAUUAAUAACGAAAGUCACAACAACAACAGCCACGCCACCAUUUCUCCCCAGGCUGUAACUGCAGCAUUCUCAUUAAACAUUUGAGAGCAGCUGCUGUUUACUUUGCUGUCACAUAUUGUGUGACCUGUUUGGGCUGUACAGAGAACUCUGUCAUUUUCUGUUUGUGACUGUGAUUACCACGCAUAUGCUUUUUUCCAAAAACCUGCAGGAC